CCCUUCCUCCUCCAGCGGCAGGAUGUGAGCCACCAGCAAGGAGGGACACCAAUAAGCCAAACACACCAACCAGGAGCCUGCUGGCACCAUGGCUCCAGGCAGUUGGGCACUAUAAUGAUCUCCUUGUGAUGAGGAAGCAUGGAUCAGCCUGCAUCAUGGUAACCUGAGUGAUACAGAAAGACUCACAUACAGCCCUAAGGCUGCCCAACCCAGGCUCCAAAGAGAAAAUGCAGGCCCACCCGAUACCUUGCAGCACCAGACAAAGGCCACUGCUAGAGUGAGCUGUUCCUGACCCCCCACCAGCUGUAACACUUGGAAGAGCAGGAUCUGCCCCUCACCAGGGCAGCACAAUACAGUCAACACUGUUAACACAGGUGCAGGAAAGGCAGCCCCUAACUUGUAACCAUGGGAAGGCUGUCCCCAUUUCCCAUCUGGCUGACCAACCUUUCGGAGCUGCCAAGUUCAGACCCAGGGUUAUGACUUGGCAUCCCCCAACAUCCACCCCAUCUGUGAUCUGCUGGAGCACAUGAGGGGACCUGACCUGCAGUCCCAAAGCUGCAGGAUCUCCACAACACGGAGCAGUAGAGGCAUAUCCAGGGAGAGUCCUGGUGGGGGCCCAGGGUUGAACGUGUAGUGGACAACAGGAACCUGGAACCAGACCAAUGACACUCUGCACUGAACACUUGCAAGUAGAGAUGUAUGUACAAAGAAGUAUGCGGAGUGACUUGUUGGGUUGCCCUGCAGCUUGCAUGGUGAGAUUUUUAAAUCCCUUCCUUUUUUAAAAUUUUAUUUUCUUCCUUUUUUCUCUUCAAUUUUGAUUUAUUUGUGGGAGGGGGGACUUCAGAGGAGGAGAGUAGAUGCAAAGGGAUGGGGAAUGAAUGGAAUCAAGAUACAUGAUGUGGAAAACACAUAGAGUUAAUUAAUUAAUUAAAUGUCUUCUCAUAGAAGCUGUUGUUUUGUAAGAACAUAAUAAAACAUUUCUUCUGUGCUA